rnacentral:rRNA from 1 species
GUGCCAGCAGCCGCGGUAAUACGAAGGGGGCUAGCGUUGUUCGGAAUUACUGGGCGUAAAGCGCAUGCAGGCGGAUCGCUAAGUCAGGGGUGAAAGCCCGAGGCUCAACCUCGGAACUGCCUUUGAUACUGGCGAUCUUGAGUCCGGGAGAGGUGAGUGGAACUCCGAGUGUAGAGGUGAAAUUCGUAGAUAUUCGGAAGAACACCAGUGGCGAAGGCGGCUCACUGGCCCGGUACUGACGCUGAGAUGCGAAAGCGUGGGGAGCAAACAGGAUUAGAUACCCUGGUAGUCC